rnacentral:rRNA from 1 species
AUUGAACGCUGGCGGCAUGCCUUACACAUGCAAGUCGAACGGCAGCGGGGACUUCGGUCCGCCGGCGAGUGGCGAACGGGUGAGUAAUGUAUCGGAACGUACCAUUGAGUGGGGGAUAACGUAGCGAAAGUUACGCUAAUACCGCAUAUUCUCUCCGGAGGAAAGCAGGGGACCGCAAGGCCUUGCGCUCUUUGAGCGGCCGAUAUCAGAUUAGCUAGUUGGUGAGGUAAAGGCUCACCAAGGCGACGAUCUGUAGCGGGUCUGAGAGGGUGAUCCGCCACACUGGAACUGAGACACGGUCCAGACUCCUACGGGAGGCAGCAGUGGGGAAUUUUGGACAAUGGGGGCAACCCUGAUCCAGCCAUGCCGCGUGAGUGAAGAAGGCCUUCGGGUUGUAAAGCUCUUUCGGCCGGGAAAAAAUCGCAUGGGCUAAUACCCUGUGUGGAUGAUGGUACCGGAAUAAGAAGCACCGGCUAACUACGUGCCAGCAGCCGCAGUAACAC